rnacentral:tRNA from 1 species
GAAAGCAGCAGCUCAGUGGUAGAGCACAUGUUUAGCAUGCAUGAAGUCCUGCGUUCAAUCCCCAGUACCUCCA